CAGAACUGUGAGCUGACUACAAGUCGAGGUAGGAAAAUAACAACUGGAAUUAAUCCUAGGAAAACUCAAGAAAGGCACUUCACUACAACUAGUGGCGAGGAGGACUAAAUACUAAAACUAAGGGCACAAACUCACGGUGGGUAAGACCCAGGCAAGAAAGGCUAAUUCUAAGAUUUCGCGACUCAAAACUACAGGCUCGCAAAUUACUUAGGCUACUAUGAUACAAACUAUUAUUUCAACUACUAAGGCUUUGAAACAAUAUGAAGCAACUCUAUAACUAUCAGAAACAGAUUUCAAAACAAUUCAAAUAGCUGAUGUUCGGACUGGGCUCUAACUGGAAACCUCUGGGUGCAUAUGAUCCAAGGCAAUUGCAGCGCCUGGUAGGUUAUGGUGAGAACACCAGGGGGUCAGGCCGGCUCUGGUGAGUGAAUCGCUGACGCUGAGGAACCAAGAGAGAGAAGCGACAGAGAACCCAGGUGAGUCCAAGCAGGAACAGGUGGCUCUGGAGCUAGGACGAAGGAGGACAACCAGAGUUACAGGCACAAGAAUCAGUAGUUUCAAAACAACUGUGGUACACAAGUGAACAGUUACAGGCUGUGUCACAAUCCAGCACUGGGAGGUGAGUGGUGUCUGGUUUUAUUGCAGUGUGUGAGGCUUAAUUGGCUGCAUUCCAUCUGCUCCUGAACCGGCUGAUGAUUGUGGUGAUGUAGAACACCUGCCGCUGCAAUUACUCCAUGGAAAACCUAAAAAGGAAGAAAGGGGAGGAGAGAGAGGGGGAGAGGGUGCUAUCUGGGCCUGGCAGCUACCAACCUGACACAAAGAGCACCAGUUCAGGUUGGUAGAGAGAGAAGAGUGGCCAGGAGAGGGAGAGGAGGAAGGAGAGGAAGACCAAGAGCUGUGGUCUCUGAUGAAAUUAGGGCCACAGUGAUUGACCAUGUGGUAAAUCAUGGACUCUCUUUUAGAGAGGCUGGUUCAAGGGUGCAGCCAAUCUUGCAGCAUUCGACAGUUGCAUCAAUCAUGAGAAUUUUCCGGUAGAACAACAGUAGUUGUUUGCUUCCGCUUGAAGAGGCGACUGUUGGAUCAAGUCAUGGUCGUCAGACGUGAAGGAGAUGGCUCAGCAUUACCAAUAUAAGAGGGAUACAGGGGACUGCACUACUGUCUUCUCUGCACAAGCACCACAUUCUUCUGGAGAAAUUGAGCCCUGUCGCUAGCACCUAUGCAUGUUUUGACAUGGACUCAUCUUUCCUCGUGUUGGAGGACGACAAAGAGCAUUGUGAAGAGGAAAGUGAACAGGAUGACACCAUUUCAGAGCUUUCAGAGGAAAACAUGUAAAGUGGCUGUCUAUACAUGGCAGCGUUUAAUGUGUUAACAUAUUCACACAUGGCAAGCUACCAUGAAAAGUUAGCACAACCACGAGGAGCAAUUUGAACAGUGCUGGAAAAUGUAUUUAGACCACUUUGUGAAUAUACUCCUUUAAAAGUUCUAUACUCCAACUUGACUGUCAAAAAAUGUGUAGAUUGUCAGAAAAUGUACUUCUGUAUGAAAUGUAAAAUGAUGUUUAGUUUAGUAAAAUUUUGUAUUCCCGUAAUGUUUUAGAUUACUGGUACUGCUGUAUUUGUAUGUUUAAAAUAUUUUGGAUGAAGGAGAUUACAAGAAGAUUACAACAGUGUAAAAGUACAGAUAACCAGCAAAAUAUGUACUUCAGUAAA
ensembl:lncRNA